UUUAACGCGAAGAACCUUACCAAAUCUUGACAUCCUUUGACAACUCUAGAGAUAGAGCCUUCCCCUUCGGGGGACAAAGUGACAGGUGGUGCAUGGUUGUCGUCAGCUCGUGUCGUGAGAUGUUGGGUUAAGUCCCGCAACGAGCGCAACCCUUAAGCUUAGUUGCCAUCAUUAAGUUGGGCACUCUAAGUUGACUGCCGGUGACAAACCGGAGGAAGGUGGGGAUGACGUCAAAUCAUCAUGCCCCUUAUGAUUUGGGCUACACACGUGCUACAAUGGACAAUACAAAGGGCAGCGAAACCGCGAGGUCAAGCAAAUCCCAUAAAGUUGUUCUCAGUUCGGAUUGUAGUCUGCAACUCGACUACAUGAAGCUGGAAUCGCUAGUAAUCGUAGAUUCAGCC
rnacentral:rRNA from 1 species